UGUCUAGUGUGUACUAACGAACCACCCA
rnacentral:piRNA from 1 species